rnacentral:rRNA from 2 species
UGUCGAUGAAGAGCGCAGCCAACUGUGUGAAUUAAUGCGAACUGCAUACUGCUUUGAACAUCGACAUCUUGAACGC